rnacentral:rRNA from 1 species
GACGAACGCUGGCGGCGUGCUUAACACAUGCAAGUCGAACGGGAAGGCCCUGCUUUUGUUGGGUGCUCGAGUGGCGAACGGGUGAGUAACACGUGAGUAACCUGCCCUUGACUUUGGGAUAACUUCAGGAAACUGGGGCUAAUACCGGAUAAGACCUCCUCCUGCCUGGUGGGGGUUGGAAAGUUUCGGCGGCUGGUGAUGGAAUCGCCGCUUCUCAGUUUGUUGUUGGGGUAGUGGCUUACCAAGGCUUUGACGGUCAGCCGGCCUGAGAGGGUGACCGGCAACAUUGGGACUGAGAUACGGCACAGACUAGUACGGGAGGGAGCAGAGGGGAAUAUUGCACAAUGGGAGGAAGCAUGAUGCAGCAACGCCGCGUGGGGGAUGACGGCAAUCGGGUUGUAAACCGAUUUCGCCUGUGACGAAGAGUGAGUGACGGUAAUGGGUAAAGAAGCAACGGCUAACUACGUG